GACGAACGCUGGCGGCGUGCUUAACACAUGCAAGUCGAACGGAAAGGCCCUGCUUUUGUGGGGUGCUCGAGUGGCGAACGGGUGAGUAACACGUGAGUAACCUGCCCUUGACUUUGGGAUAACUUCAGGAAACUGGGGCUAAUACCGGAUAGGAGCUCCUGCUGCAUGGUGGGGGUUGGAAAGUUUCGGCGGUUGGGGAUGGACUCGCGGCUUAUCAGCUUGUUGGUGGGGUAGUGGCUUACCAAGGCUUUGACGGGUAGCCGGCCUGAGAGGGUGACCGGCAACAUUGGGACUGAGAUACGGCCCAGACUCCUACGGGAGGCAGCAGGGGGGAAUAUUGCACAAUGGGCGGAAGCCUGAUGCAGCAACGCCGCGUGCGGGAUGACGGCCUUCGGGUUGUAAACCGCUUUCGCCGGUGACGAAGCGUGAGUGACGGUAAUGGGUAAAGAAGCACCGGCUAACUACGUG
rnacentral:rRNA from 1 species